GCCGCUGUGGCUUAGUGGUAUAGCGGCUGAUUCGUAAUCAGCAGGUCGGGGGUUCGAAUCCCUCCAGCGGCU
rnacentral:tRNA from 4 species